rnacentral:rRNA from 1 species
CUGAGUACGGCGGAACACGUGAAAUUCCGUCGGAAUCCGGGAGGACCAUCUCCCAAGGCUAAAUACUCCCUAGUGACCGAUAGUGAACCAGUACCGUGAGGGAAAGGUGAAAAGCACCCCGGAAGGGGAGUGAAACAGUUCCUGAAACCGUGUGCCUACAAGUAGUUAGAGCCCGUUAAUGGGUGAUAGCGUGCCUUUUGUAGAAUGAACCGGCGAGUUACGAUUUGUUGCAAGGUUAAGCGGAAAAAGCGGAGCCGUAGCGAAAGCGAGUCUGAAUAGGGCGCAUAAGUAACAGGUCGUAGACCCGAAACCAGGUGAUCUACCCAUGUCCAGGAUGAAGGUAAGGUAAUACUUACUGGAGGUCCGAACCCACGCACGUUGAAAAGUGCGGGGAUGAGGUGUGGGUAGCGGAGAAAUUCCAAUCGAACUUGGAGAUAGCUGGUUCUCUCCGAAAUAGCUUUAGGGCUAGCCUCGAGGUAAAGAGUCAUGGAGGUAGAGCACUGUUUGGACUAGGGGCCCUUCUCGGGUUACCGAAUUCAGAUAAACUCCGAAUGCCAUGUACUUAUACUCGGGAGUCAGACUGCGAGUGAUAAGAUCCGUAGUCGAAAGGGAAACAGCCCAGACCACCAGUUAAGGUCCCCAAAUAUAUGUUAAGUGGAAAAGGAUGUGGGGUUGCUUAGACAACCAGGAUGUUGGCUUAGAAGCAGCCACCAUUGAAAGAGUGCGUAAUAGCUCACUGGUCGAGUGACCCCGCGCCGAAAAUGUACCGGGGCUAAACAUAUUACCGAAACUGUGGAUGAACCUCUUUAGAGGUUCGUGGUAGGAGAGCGUUCUAAGGGCGGUGAAGUCAGACCGGAAGGACUGGUGGAGCGCUUAGAAGUGAGAAUGCCGGUAUGAGUAG